CUAAAAUCGGGGCGCGCUUCGGCGCUGCCUUAUUCACCCACCCUUUGUCUACGUGUACCUCUAUAGCUUCCUCGGCGGGCUCGCCCGCCGCCAGGAACCCACGAAACCCCUUGCAUUAUACACGAAAACUUCUGAUAACAAACCUAAAUUAUUACAACUUUCAACAAUGGAUCUCUUGGUUCUGGCAUCGAUGAAGAACGCAGCGAAAUGCGAUAAGUAGUGUGAAUUGCAGAAUUCAGUGAAUCAUCGAAUCUUUGAACGCACAUUGCGGCCAUAGGUAUUCCUUUGGCCAUGCCUGUUCGAGCGUCAUUUACACCCUCAAGCCUAGCUUGGUGUUGGGCGUCUGUCCCGCCGAUUUCGCGCGCGGACUCGCCUCAAAGUCAUUGGCGGCGGUCGUGCCGGCUCCUCGCGCAGCACAUUUGCGCUUCUCGGAGGCCCGGCGGAUCCGCGCUCCAGCAAAGACCUUUCAUGACUUGACCUCGGAUCAGGUAGGGAUACCCGCUGAACUUAAGCAUAUCAAUAAGGCGGAGGAAGAUCAUUACGAAAUUCGGCGCGCUUCGGCGCUGCCUUAUUCACCCACCCUUUGUCUACGUGUACCUCUAUAGCUUCCUCGGCGGGCUCGCCGCCGCCAGGAACCCACGAAAACCCUUGCAUUUAUACACGAAAACUUCUGAUAACAAACUAAAUUAUUACAACUUUCACAAUGGGAUCUCUUGGGUUCUGGCAUGAUGAAGAACGCAGCAAAAUGCAUAAGUAGUGUGAAUUUGCAGAAUCAGUGAAUCAUCGAAUCUUUGAACGCACAUUGCGGCUGAAGAAAUUCUUUUUGGCAUCCGACUCAAGCAAGUUACUAUAUCACCACGGAGAGUGGGUGUUGCGCCACGAGCGUCCCCCCACUA
rnacentral:rRNA from 1 species